rnacentral:RNase_P_RNA from 1 species
AGGGGUAGUGAAGCAGGCGCUCUAUCUACCUUAAGAUAGAUAGAGAGGAAAGUCCGAACUUCCCCUGUUUAUCUGUGACAGGGAUGUAGGUGCUGGCGAAAGCUAGAUAGGGGUAACCUUAUGUAUCGGGCCACAGAAAAUAGACCGCCUCAUACCUUAAAGUUUGAGGUAAGGGUGAAAAGGUGAGGUAAGAGCUCACCAUCUCGAGUCGUGAGACUCGAGAGUUCGGUAACCACCACCUGAAGCAACCUCUUUAUGAGGGCUUAGAUUAAUGCCUGCAUAAACAGAAUUCGGCUUAUCACUACCCCUUAAA